GUACUUAUUAAUCAGUUACAGACUUGCUGUGUAGGAGUCUCUUCAGUUCAACCAAGAACCUGUUUGGGAAUAAGAAGGCAAAGCAACGAGAGAAGGGAGGAGUCUCUUCAGUUCAACCAAGAUGGUGUCUGGGCUGAUCUCUGCUGCUGACUCGUUCGUUCAUGAACACAUCAAACGGCACUGGGAAUGGAUGUGUUUUGGAUCAAACGAUGCAGGAGCCGAGUUCCUUCUUCACUGUCUUAUCUUGGACUGAAGGGUCCCCUGCCUCUCUCUCUCUCUCUCUCUCUCUCUCUCUCUCUCACACACACACACAUAAACUCUGAAGGAUUAAGUUGGGCAGAUGGCUCUCUUCAUGGACUGAAAGGUAAUUCAAUUCUAGCUACAUUUUCUUUCUUUUGAGGUAAUAUAUUGAUGGAUGCCUAAGUUGUGUUUGAUAUGCAUUAUUAGGAUAGAUUAUGGGUCUAGAAUGAAUUCUAUAGCAAGAAAGUAGAGAAGAAUUAGAAUGAGUUCUAGACCCAAAAUCUGCAUACCAAACCAACAGAUUACUUCUCAUUGAUUUAUAAACAGGUCAAAGCCCAUUAGAUUCCUUAUUCUAGUAGAAACUUUAAUAUUCUUCAUUUCUUUGUAUUCAAUUUGCAUAAAGAUGAAUUUUUUUUUUCCCUGUUCUGAUAUUCCCCCACGCCCACCCCCACCCCCACCCCCACCCCCAAUUUUUUAUUUAUUUAUUUUUUUUUUUAAUGAGGAACCUUUCAAACCUGCCUGGCUUUAUGGUUCAAACCCAAAGGUAAACCCUGGCUACGUGCAGUCACAACUAACCAAUAUAACAGAUUUGUCAUGGGAGACUCCAGCUGGAGAUGCCUGUUAACACACAGCUCCUUUGGAUCAGUGAAACUAGUGGUAUAUCCCUUAAAAUUUUAAGUUUACCAAUCAUGUAACAGAUCAGUCAUAGGGAGACUCCACUUGGAGAUGAUUGUUAACACAACGCCUUUGGACCAAGGAAGCUACAUUCGGGGUGUACCCCCUAAUCUAAAGUUUACCAAUCAUAGUAUUAGUUUGGGAAAUCAGAAUGAACAUUAACUUCAAUCUCCUUUUUUUAUUUCAGAGCAAUUUAGCCUCAAAGUGUCAAAUCCUUUUAGUUGAGCCAAAUCAAUAAACCCAAUUAGGGAAAUUAGAGUCUGAGUUUAUAAUAGUGGUCUCUCUCUCUCUCUCUCUCUCUCUCUCUCUUGUUUGUUUUCUCUGUGUAGGUCCUUUGUGUCACUUAAAUUAGGACAUAUGAUCUGGUAAAGCUUCAAAUUUCAACAAUUAUAGCAGAAAAUUGGUUGGGCUUGGGUGGAGCAAGGAAAUCUAUGGAGAUCCUACUGAGGAACAUGACAAGGGAAAAUUUAAUUUCCCAGUCACUUUGCGGCUCCUAUGCCCUCAAAACCGGAAAGUCUGACAAGUCAACAAGGAAAAGAAUACAAUUUCACAUUCAUUUGGGGACAGAAUAUCGACAACCGAAUUACUUAGCCAAACCGAAAGUGGAUUUCUAUGAUGUACAGUUUCAGUUCCUCAAUUCAAAUUCAUAGAAAAAUCUGAACAACUGUUGCACAUGCUCCUUUUCCCUUUCCAUUUUUAAUUUCAAUCUGUAGCAAGUAACAAAGUGAGUGGCCUUGGAAGUGGAUCAUGGGCUUAUUCCUUUGUUUUAGUGUGUGUGAAAAGUACUUUCCUCAAGGUAGGAGUGAAAUUGUUCUCCUUCCAAGGCAAGGAGUCAAAA